AUGACGAAGAAAAAUAAGACCUACUAUCUGUUGGAUGGGGAGGAAGAGCCUACGAGGCAUAUACAUGGAAACUGUAUUGGCAAGGUGAUGUUCUUGACGGCCGUUGCUAGGCCAAGGUGGGACAGUGAAGGAAACGUGACCUUCUCUGGGAAAAUCGUAUGGCCAUUCGUGAAAGAAGUUCCUGCUCAGAGGAGAAGUGAUAACGGGCCCAAAGGUACAAUAGAGACAAAGUCAAUAAAGGUCGAUAGAAAAGUGAUGAGGGAGUUCCUGAUAGAGAAGGUCUUGCCAGCGAUACAGGCCGUUUGGCCCGAAAGUAAUGCUGGACAGACCAUCUACAUUCAGCAGGAUAAUGCUAAGCCCCAUAUCUUGCCAGAUGACCCAGAAUUUCUAGCCGCUGUUGCAAAAACUGGACUUGACAUCAGAAUAAUACAACAGCCCGCCAACAGUCCUGAUUCUAGUGUGCUUGACCUCGGUUUUUUCAACUCGCUGCAAUCCCUAACAGAUUGUCUGAGUCCUAAAACACUACAAGACCUUAUUACGGGUGUUCUGGAGGAAUUUGAAGGCUAUGAGGUUUACAAUCUCAACAGAAUUUUCCUAACUCUGCAGACAUGCAUGAUUGAGAUCUUGAACCAUGCAGGGGGCAAUGAGUAUAAAACACCACAUGUGAACAAAGAAAGGCUUGAGGGUCUUGGGCAGCUACCUCCAAGACUAUCAUGCCCUCGAGAGGUUUACGCAAAUGCCCUACACAAUCUAGAGCUAAUGGAAAGGGUUCAGAUAAUGGAAGAAAAGGCCUGA
rnacentral:rRNA from 1 species